GACGAACGCUGGCGGCGUGCCUAAUACAUGCAAGUUGAGCGCUGAAGGUUGGUACUUGUACCAACUGGAUGAGCAGCGAACGGGUGAGUAACGCGUGGGGAAUCUGCCUUUGAGCGGGGGACAACAUUUGGAAACGAAUGCUAAUACCGCAUAAAAACUUUAAACACAAGUUUUAAGUUUGAAAGAUGCAAUUGCAUCACUCAAAGAUGAUCCCGCGUUGUAUUAGCUAGUUGGUGAGGUAAAGGCUCACCAAGGCGAUGAUACAUAGCCGACCUGAGAGGGUGAUGGGCCACAUUGGGACGGAGACACGGCACAAACUCCUACGGGAGGCAGCAGUAGGGAAUCUUCGGGAAUGGACGAAAGUCUGACCGAGCAACGCCGAGUGAGUGAGGAAGGUUGUCGGGUCGUAAAACUCUGUUGGUAGAGAAGAACGUUGGUGAGAGUGGAAAGCUCAUCAAGUGACGGUAACUACCCAGAAAGGGACGGCUAACUACGUG
rnacentral:rRNA from 1 species